UUUUGUUUUUUUGUCAUUCUAGUAAAUAAGCAGAGAACUUUACACAAGCACUAAAACAUGAAUGAAAGUGCUACAACGUUGAUGAAACUGUUAGGAUUCAAGUUGGUGUGAGUGCUCCUCCGAAUAGACGAUCUUCGUGGGAGCGUUCUGGCAGGCUGACGCACCUGAAGCGGAUUUCUGAAAUCGGCUGCAGGAUUCUUAAGAAGCGGUGGAGCAGCCAUUCAUCGCUCGAUGGUCCCACUUGUUGAUUUUGGAUGCACUGCCUGGACCCAGCUAGGAACCAUGCCCACCCGAACACUGACACCGAUUACCCACCGGACUAAACGCUCUCGUCUGCCGCCCGAGCCUGCAACCUUCUCUGAGCCUCUGCACCCACGGAUCCUACCUCCUCCUCGGCAAUCCUCCAUCAGAUGAACUUACCACAGCCGCCCGGCCGCUCCCGAUCCCAGUGGACAACUUAGGCUCAACAUAUUCAAUAAUAACUGUAAAUAAAUCUUUGAAUCAAAAAUCUUCCGGUUUGAUGUCUAAACCUGCAUGUGGGUAAAGAAACUCAAAUCCAACAUGACAGAAACGGAUCAGGUAUGUCCCAGUGGGAGAUGUAAGAAAUCGCUCCUUCCUCUGCGGCUCGUUUUUACUUUGAAUCGGAAGUUAUUCUGGCUUUAACGUGUUUUUGAAAAACAUGAACGUUCUUGGUGAUAUAAAAACGCUUUCAUUAAUGUCAUUGUGUUUUUGUUCAUGUUAUAGAGCUUUUGUAAUUGUGGUUUCGAUUUGCUGAAGUGGUUUGAACCUCAGGGCCACCGUACACCCUGGAGCCAGGCUGGGGCGCUUUGGGAGCCCCUGGUGGCCAGUGGCUGAUAUGACAAUA